UACGUAGGGUGCGAGCGUUGUCCGGAAUUAUUGGGCGUAAAGAGCUUGUAGGCGGUUUGUCGCGUCUGCCGUGAAAUUUCGAGGCUCAACCUCGAACUUGCGGUGGGUACGGGCAGACUAGAGUGUGGUAGGGGAGACUGGAAUUCCUGGUGUAGCAGGUGAAAUGCGCAGAUAUCAGGAGGAACACCGAUGGCGAAGGCAGGUCUCUGGGCCACUACUGACGCUGAGGCGCGAAAGCGUGGGGAGCAAACAGG
rnacentral:rRNA from 1 species